rnacentral:lncRNA from 1 species
GAAUGCACUCGAAGGUUGGUGAAAAGGAUAAGCUUUGACCCAAAGAUGGAUUAAAGGAAAGGUGGAUCGAUGGUUCUUCAGUAUAAGGCUGCGGAAGGCCAGAUACUUGCUGGGUUGGUCUUAGUCCGUGAGAGGCAGCCCCACUAGUGAACAAGACCGUGCUUACGGAGAUCACUCUCGUAGCAUUACGAUGUUCCAAAGAACAAAGGAUUCAACAAAUUUAAAAAGUAGAUUUUUAUUAAAAGGGUUGAAUGAAUAAAAACAAUACAAAGCAAACCUUUAUAUAAUAGGCAAUCUGUAAAAUUAAAUAAUCUAGUCAAUCCUUGAAACUAUAAAGCUCUUAAAACUAUGAAGACUUGACUAGGAAUAUUGACUUGACCAAAGACCAAGACUGUUGACUAAAUUUUGGAAAUUGUGUUCGCAGAAUUCCUUGGCUGGUCACAUCCUUUUGCAUGAUCGACGGUCUCUGAAUUGCCGUCAGAUUGAUAUAUUAUACGACAUUGGCUUGUAUUUUCUUGGUGAGCCUUUCUUUUUUUUUUGGACUUCUCUUGAUUUACUUGUUCCUGAACAAGGUCACAUCAUCCCCUCCUCCUUCAAAAGGAUUUGCCCUCAAAUCCGACUUAAUGUUUAGAACCUGUGACCGUGAGAGGCAGCCCCACUAGUGAUCAAAACAGGUUGCUUUUGGAGAAGCAAUCUCCUAGAGCCAUUACGAGAGAUGGAGGAGCAGUCUCGAUUUAACUUCAGAUGGAAUGAUCUCUUGUUUUCUCGUGGAUUUUUUUUUUUUUUUUUUUUGUAGAAGAUGGAAAGAUGAGAAUGAUGAAUGACAGAAGUGAACACCGAACCCUCAAGUGUGCUCUGAUACCAAAUAAUAGAAAAUCUCCCAAGGAAUGCACUCGAAGGUUGGUGAAAAGGAUAAGCUUUGACCCAAAGAUGGAUUAAAGGAAAGGUGGAUCGAUGGUUCUUCAGUAUAAGGCUGCGGAAGGCCAGAUACUUGCUGGGUUGGUCUUAGUCCGUGAGAGGCAGCCCCACUAGUGAACAAGACCGUGCUUACGGAGAUCACUCUCGUAGCAUUACGAUGUUCCAAAGAACAAAGGAUUCAACAAAUUUAAAAAGUAGAUUUUUAUUAAAAGGGUUGAAUGAAUAAAAACAAUACAAAGCAAACCUUUAUAUAAUAGGCAAUCUGUAAAAUUAAAUAAUCUAGUCAAUCCUUGAAACUAUAAAGCUCUUAAAACUAUGAAGACUUGACUAGGAAUAUUGACUUGACCAAAGACCAAGACUGUUGACUGAAUUUUGGAAAUUGUGUUCGCAGAAUUCCUUGGCUGGUCGCAUCCUUUUGCAUGAUCGACGGUCUCUGAAUUGCCGUCAGAUUGAUAUAUUAUACGACAUUGGCUUGUAUUUUCUUGGUGAGCCUUUCUUUUUUUUUGGACUUCUCUUGAUUUACUUGUUCCUGAACAAGGUCACAUCAUCCCCUCCUCCUUCAAAAAGAUUUGCCCUCAAAUCCGACUUAAUGUUUAGAACCUGUGACCGUGAGAGGCAGCCCCACUAGUGAUCAAAACAGGUUGCUUUUGGAGAAGCAAUCUCCUAGAGCCAUUACGAGAGAUGGAGGAGCAGUCUCGAUUUAACUUCAGAUGGAAUGAUCUCUUGUUUUCUCGUGGAUUUUUUUUUUUUUUUUUUUUUGUAGAAGAUGGAAAGAUGAGAAUGAUGAAUGACAGAAGUGAACACCGAACCCUCAAGUGUGCUCUGAUACCAAAUAAUAGAAAAUCUCCCAAGGAAUGCACUCGAAGGUUGGUGAAAAGGAUAAGCUUUGACCCAAAGAUGGAUUAAAGGAAAGGUGGAUCGAUGGUUCUUCAGUAUAAGGCUGCGGAAGGCCAGAUACUUGCUGGGUUGGUCUUAGUCCGUGAGAGGCAGCCCCACUAGUGAACAAGACCGUGCUUACGGAGAUCACUCUCGUAGCAUUACGAUGUUCCAAAGAACAAAGGAUUCAACAAAUUUAAAAAAUAGAUUUUUAUUAAAAGGGUUGAAUGAAUAAAAACAAUACAAAGCAAACCUUUAUAUAAUAGGCAAUUUGUAAAAUUAAAUAAUCUAGUCAAUCCUUGAAACUAUAAAGCUCUUAAAACUAUGAAGACUUGACUAGGAAUAUUGACUUGACCAAAGACCAAGACUGUUGACUGAAUUUUGGAAAUCGUGUUCGCAGAAUUCCUUGGCUGGUCGCAUCCUUUUGCAUGAUCGACGGUCUCUGAAUUGCCGUCAGAUUGAUAUAUUAUACGACAUUGGCUUGUAUUUUCUUGGUGAGCCUUUCUUUUUUUUGGACUUCUCUUGAUUUG